UACGUAGGGGGCAAGCGUUGUCCGGAUUUAUUGGGCGUAAAGCGCGUGUAGGCGGCCAUACAGGUCCGUUGUGAAAACUCGAGGCUUAACCUCGAGACGUCGAUGGAAACCGUAUGGCUAGAGUCCGGAAGAGGAGAGUGGAAUUCCAGGUGUAGCGGUGAAAUGCGUAGAUAUCUGGAGGAACACCGGUGGCGAAGGCGGCAUCCUGGACCGGUAUUGACGCUGAGGCGCGAAAGCUAGGGGAGCAAACGGG
rnacentral:rRNA from 1 species